GUGUAACAACUCACCUGCCGAAGCAACUAGCCCUGAAAAUGGAUGGCGCUUCAGCGUCGAGCCCAUACCCGGCCGUCGCGGCUGUAGCCAAGUGCUUUAUGUCGCGACGAGUAGGAGGGCGCAGGGGUGCGCGUUGAAGGUGCCGGGCGCAAGCCCGUCUGGAGCCGCCCCUGGUGCAGAUCUUGGUGGUAGUAUCAAAUACUCAAGUGAGAACCUUGAGGACUGAGGUGGAGAAGGGUUCCAUGUGAACAGCAGUUGAACUUGGGUCAGUCGGUCCUAAGGGAUAGGAGAAAUCCGUUCCGAAGCGGGACCUCUCUUGACAAAGAAGUUGGUCCCGCCGCAGACCGAAAGGGAAUCGGGUUAAUAUUCCCGAACCCGGACAUGGAGAUCGACCCCUCACGGGGUCUAGUGCGGUAACGCAAGCGAACUCGGAGACGUCGACGGGAGUCCCGGGAAGAGUUGUCUUUUCUUUGUAAGGGCUCGGCUCCCUGGAAUCGGCUCGCCCGGAGAUAGGGAUGCUGUACCCGUAAAGCACCGCGCCUCUUGCGGUGUCCGGAGCGCUCCCGUCGGCCCUUGAAAAUCCGAGCGAGAGGUUGUGAUUUUCGUGCCGGACCGUACCCAUAUCCGCAGCAGG
rnacentral:rRNA from 1 species